UACGAAGGGGGCUAGCGUUGUUCGGAUUUACUGGGCGUAAAGCGCACGUAGGCGGAUCGUUAAGUCAGGGGUGAAAUCCUGGGGCUCAACCCCAGAACUGCCUUUGAUACUGGCGAUCUUGAGUCCAGGAGAGGUGAGUGGAACUGCGAGUGUAGAGGUGAAAUUCGUAGAUAUUCGCAAGAACACCAGUGGCGAAGGCGGCUCACUGGCCCGGUACUGACGCUGAGGUGCGAAAGCGUGGGGAGCAAACAGG
rnacentral:rRNA from 1 species